rnacentral:rRNA from 1 species
GAUGUGAAAGGCCCCGGCUCAACCGGGGAGUGGCAUUGGAAACUGCCAGGCUUGAGGACGGAAGAGGAGAGCGGAAUUCCCGGUGUAGCGGUGGAAUGCGUAGAGAUCGGGAGGAACACCAGUGGCGAAGGCGGCUCUCUGGUCCGUACCUGACGCUGAGGUGCGAAAGCGUGGGUAGCGAACAGGAUUAGAUACCCUGGUAGUCCACGCCGUAAACGCUGGGUACUAGGUGUGGGAGGUAUCGACCCCUUCCGUGCCGGAGUUAACGCAUUAAGUACCCCGCCUGGGGAGUACGGCCGCAAGGCUGAAACUCAAAGGAAUUGACGGGGGCCCGCACAAGCGGUGGAGCAUGUGGUUUAAUUCGACGCAACGCGAAGAACCUUACCUGGGCUUGACAUCCCCCGAAUCCCGGUGAAAGCCGGGAGUGCCUGCGGGAGCGGGGAGACAGGUGCUGCAUGGUUGUCGUCAGCUCGUGUCGUGAGAUGUUGGGUUAAGUCCCGCAACGAGCGCAACCCUCGUUCUGUGUUACCAGCAGUUAAGCUGGGGACUCACAGGAGACUGCCGGUGAACAAGCCGGAGGAAGGUGAGGAUGACGUCAAAUCAUCAUGGCCUUUACGUCCUGGGCUACACACACGCUACAAUGGGCGGUACAGAGGGUAGCCAAAGAGCGAUCUGGAGCUAAUCCCGAAAAGCCGUCCCCAGUUCGGAUUGGAGGCUGAAACUCGCCUCCAUGA